rnacentral:rRNA from 1 species
CCUACGGAGGGCUGCAGUGGGGAAUAUUGGACAAUGGGCGAAAGCCUGAUCCAGCCAUGCCGCGUGUGUGAAGAAGGCCUUCGGGUUGUAAAGCACUUUCAGUGGGGAAGAAAGCCUUGGGGCUAAUACCCUCGAGGAAGGACAUCACCCACAGAAGAAGCACCGGCUAACUCCGUGCCAGCAGCCGCGGUAAUACGGAGGGUGCGAGCGUUAAUCGGAAUUACUGGGCGUAAAGCGCGCGUAGGCGGUCUGAUAAGCCGGUUGUGAAAGCCCCGGGCUCAACCUGGGAACGGCAUCCGGAACUGUCAGGCUAGAGUGCAGGAGAGGAAGGUAGAAUUCCCGGUGUAGCAGUGAAAUGCGUAGAGAUCGGGAGGAAUACCAGUGGCGAAGGCGGCCUUCUGGACUGACACUGACGCUGAGGUGCGAAAGCGUGGGUAGCAAACAGGAUUAGAUACCCCAGUAGUC